rnacentral:rRNA from 1 species
GACGAACGCUGGCGGCGUGCCUAAUACAUGCAAGUUGAGCGCUGAAGGUUGGUACUUGUACCAACUGGAUGAGCAGCGAACGGGUGAGUAACGCGUGGGGAAUCUGCCUUUGAGCGGGGGACAACAUUUGGAAACGAAUGCUAAUACCGCAUAAAAACUUUAAACACAAGUUUUAAGUUUGAAAGAUGCAAUUGCAUCACUCAAAGAUGAUCCCGCGUUGUAUUAGCUAGUUGGUGAGGUAAAGGCUCACCAAGGCGAUGAUACAUAGCCGACCUGAGAGGGAGGGCGGGAAGAUGGGGAGUGAGACACGGCCGAAACGACAGCGGGAGGCAGCAAUGGGGAAUCUGCGGAGAUGGUUGAAAGUUUGACCGAGCCAGGCGGCGGGGGUGAAGAUGGGUGUGGGAUGGUAAAACACUGUUGGUGGGGAAGAACGGUGGUGGGAGUGGAAAGCUCAUCAAGAGACGGUGACUAACCAGAAAGAGAAGGCCAACUACGUG